rnacentral:rRNA from 1 species
CAGUCGCCACGGUAAUACGUAGGUGGCAAGCGUUGUCCGGAAUUAUUGGGCGUAAAGGGCUCGCAGGCGGUUUCUUAAGUCUGAUGUGAAAGCCCCCGGCUCAACCGGGGAGGGUCAUUGGAAACUGGGAAACUUGAGUGCAGAAGAGGGGAGUGGAAUUCCACGUGUAGCGGUGAAAUGCGUAGAGAUGUGGAGGGACACCAGUGGCGAAGGCGACUCUCUGGUCUGUAACUGACGCUGAGGAGCGAAAGCGUGGGGAGCGAACAGGAUUAGAUACCCCCGUAGUCCCUGUCUCUUAUAC